rnacentral:lncRNA from 1 species
AUGGCUAGGUCUUUCUGGAUUUUUUUCACCUUUAAGAAGGCCUUUUUAGCAGUUAUAUUUCUCUUUAUGAGAGUAUUUUUAAGGACGACAAUACAUUGGUACUAAAGAAAAUCUUCGGCAUUGCAACUGUAUCUAUAAUCGUAAGUAUUCAUAUACUCAUACCCGAAACCAGUUAAAUUUUAUGGUAUUUCAAAAUAACAUAAUGCACGUGUUUAACAAACUAA